AAAGUCGUAACAAGGUUUUCGUAGGUGAACCUGCGGAAGGAUCAUUAAAUUAAUAUUUUUUAAUCUAAUAAAAAACUUUUUUUUUUUUUGAUUUUGUUUUUUUAUCACUGGUACUUUCUUUUUUCUAUCUUCGCAGCUUUAGUUAGUUGAAGGGAGGGAGGAAAUGAAAAAAACCGAGUUUUAAAUAAAACAAAUCCCAAUCUUUUUAUUUUUUUUGGGGGCCACCUUUAACCAUUAUUUAAAACAUUUAGUGCUUAUAAACACAUUCUAAAUUUAAUUUUUUAGUCUUAACUAUAAAAUAACUUUCAACAACGGAUCUCUAGGCUCUU
rnacentral:misc_RNA from 1 species